AGCGCAGCCAGCUCAGCGGAGCGAUGGUUGGAGGCGCCUUCCCGGGUGGCCAGCCCGUCAUUUCGCGGAGACGUGUCCCUUUGUGGAGGCCAGGCGUCUGGGGUUCCUCAGGAACCGAGGCCGCAAGUGCCAGUUUUGGACUCUUGUGUCAGCUGCUGUGCUGUGUGGGGCCCAAGGGUGACCGGCAGAGGUCCUGUGAGGGGUGAGCACUGACCAAGGGGCCUAUGUUGGGGUGGGGACCGGGUGGCCGUCUGGAUUUCAUUCUACUGUGGAGGGAGGAAGUGCUCCUGAGAUAGGACUGUGACUUGGCGGACACUGGAGGUCUGUACGGUGGCCCUGGGGAGCAGAGCAGCCAGCAGUCACUGGCAUGGGCAGGACAGGAGCUAGCCCACUGUCGCUUGUACUGUUGAAGCAGUGUGUAGUCCUUUGAGAGCCCUGUACUCCAGGAGGACAGAGGCUGGGGUACAGCUACAGCCCACUUCCUGCUCACCCUGCCCUGGGCUGGUAGAACCCCAGCUGCCUCCCCCAGGCAUCAGCCCCAGGCCGGGCACUGUGUUAGGCUGCUGCACCACUGGUGCCUGCAGAGGCUGUGGCUAGGUUAACGGUCAAGUCUGCCCUCCCACUGAAGACCCUUCAGGUGGCCAGCCCCCAGCCAGUACUAUGAACACAUUGGCAUGCCUCAGUACAAGGCAGGUGCUCCAGUGUCUGCCAGCCAACUGCCAGGUCCCCCACCCCUUGCUGGCCACAGUGCCCUCCAUGGACCAGAAAAUUCCUGUGCUGAGUGAGCUGUUGCCCCUCCUGAGGCCCAGUGUCCAGCAACUGCUGUUGCUGUUGCCCAGCAAGGAUGGUGCAGAGGGCGUGGUCCAGGGGCUUUCCCUGAGGCCCAGGCUGUGCAGAGAUAGACCUACUGGGGGUUCUGAGACUGAGUGGUGGGCUGGGUGUAGGCAGGAUCCUCUGAGGAGGUUGCAGGUUGGGGUUUUGAUGUUAGCAGCUUAAUGUCAGAGCAGUGAUGCGGUUUCUGCCUCAAGGUGAGUUCUGGGAGGGCUGGGUCUCUGUGCUCACCCACCUCCAAGCUCCUGCCCCACAGGAGGGGACUUCCACGUGCUCAGCACGCUGGGGUUCCAGGGUGUCAAGAUGGGGCAGAUGGGACUGCACUGUGGCUGGGACCAGCACCCACCUGGCCAGAGGUUUGAAUGGACGUGUGUGGACCUCUCUUACUGAAGGGGGUCCCUGGAGGGGACCCGCUCUUUGUCAGCAAGGACAACUGGGAUGGGGGCUGAGUGCUUGCCCAUGCACAUCUGGAUGACCUCUCGGUAGCUGUUCGGUGCCAGCUGCUCUGUGCUGUGCACCUGUGCCUCAGCAGCCUGGGCAUCGCUGGCCCGAGGCCCAUGUCUAUCUAACACCUGGCCACCCUGCAGCUGCCCUGCCUGCACUGCCCCAGGCAGCUCUCUGGAGAGUGAGGACAGAUGCCUCUACUUCCCAGCUCAGGUGGGGUGCUUCCAGGGAGGUUCUCGGUGCGCUUGGAGCCUCUGAGCCAGCUGCUCAGGUGAACCGCCCCUCCACCUUAAGGCCACCCUUGCCAGCACCUGGGAAAGCUUGGCAUUGGCUUUUCUGACUGAGGCACCCCCAAGCUCCCCACCUCCAGAAGCGGAACCUGCUGGCACCCUCCCAGGGCCUUUUGCAGGAGCUGACCAAGCCGGAGGUGCUGAGCACCCAGCUACUGACCAUGCUGCCCGGCCUAACCUGCUGCACCAGCCUCCAUCACCUUGACCUCUAUGGCAAUCACCUGUCCAUGGUGGCCCUCCCAGAGCUGCUGCCCGACUUGGAGCCCAGGUGGAACUGCCCAUUGUGGUGCCUCUCCCGCCCACCCAUGGACUGCUAUGGAGAACUGGGUCUGCCCUAGCCCCCCUCUACCUGCGGGAGUGAAUGGAUGUCUGGCUCUACCAGAUGCUUGGAGCAUCGGGCCAGGAUCAGGCACAGCCUCCUCCAUCUGCAUCUAGCUAAAGAUUCUUUCAGCCUGUAGUCUCCCACUCAGAAGUUUCUGCGCCAGCUCCCUGCAGCCCUCUGUGAAGAAGGAUGCUGCUCUCAGACUGCAGCUAACCCUGACCACCUGGUGGCCUAAGGCCUGUGGCAGCCUGGCCUGUGGUUUUCCCUCAAGAGCUAUUCCUCAGAUCCCACCUGUAAGCUCUCUAGACUGGCUUCUCUCAGUCUUUCCCAAAGGCGAGGUGCCCUGCUCCAGGCCCCCAACCUGACACCUGGAGAUGUCAUUGCCCUGGUCUGAGUGGCUGUGCUCGGGCUGGGGGCAGGUGUUAAGUCAGCCCAAACAUGCAGCCUGUUUGGAACUAGA